AUCUGUGGCCAUAUCACCCUGAACGCGCCCCAUUGCAUCUGAUCUUGGAAGCUAAGCAGGGUCAGGCCUGGUUAGUACUUGGAUGGGAGAAAUCCUUUGUUGUGGUCU
rnacentral:rRNA from 1 species